CGCGCCCUAUACCGCUGUAUUUGAAUUCCUGUGUUGGAGGCUGUGUUUGGAUUUUCUGUCGAGAUUUUAAUAAACGUCGAUAUGGCUGGCCAGUACUGCUCGAUCAAAAACUGCCAUAGCAGGUCACACGAUCGUUCAGGGAGGAAACUGAACAACGGAAUACGUUUUUUCAGCUUUCCUUCCUGGAAAAAACAACAAGGGAAGCAGGUGGAGGAGCUGACGAAAAGAUGCCGGAUCGCGUGGGUUGCCGCAAUCAGGAGAAAACAUUUUUACUUUCCAAAACAUCCCUGCAUCAGCGAGAGUGUGUUCGCUGCAUUUUCAGUCAGGACAACCAGCAUUUGAAAUGCUGGAUACUCAUCCUGACUGGGCACCAUCUUUGCUUCUGGGCCACAAUGAAGUGAAAGGGAUGAACAAAGAGAGGUUUGCACGUCAGUUAAGAAAAUACCUCACACAUCAGGUAAUUAGCAAGAGGCCAGGAGAGGAGAAAGAAAACAAGAAGAAAGUUGUCACAGUCUGCUGUGCUCUUACAAACAUGUGUCCAAGUGUUGUGCAGUGAUUACUAAAUCAACUGGUUUGUAAAAACGUUUGUUAAAAGUUGUACAAAGCAAGAGGUGUUGUGUAUUGUAUAUUCCUUGAUGAUUUGUAGGAUAGCUGAUGAAUGAUGUUGAAUUAAAGACAGGCCACAUUGCAUGAAUCAAAAAUUAUUUAUUUUUUCAAUGAACAAUUUGCUUUGAUAUUCUGUACAUAUUUUUACAUGCCUUUUUAAAAUGUUUCUGACUCAAGUUUUUAUAUAACUGCUUAAUAAAUACAUUAAGUGACGUA